AUUGAACGCUGGCGGCAGGCCUAACACAUGCAAGUCGAGCGGAUGACGGGAGCUUGCUCCUUGAUUCAGCGGCGGACGGGUGCGUAAUGCCUAGGAAUCUGCCUGGUAGUGGGGGACAACGUUUCGAAAGGAACGCUAAUACCGCAUACGUCCUACGGGAGAAAGCAGGGGACCUUCGGGCCUUGCGCUAUCAGAUGAGCCUAGGUCGGAUUAGCUAGUUGGUGGGGUAAUGGCUCACCAAGGCGACGAUCCGUAACUGGUCUGGGAGGAUGAUCAGUCACACUGGAGAUGAGACACGCGCCAGGCUCCGACGGGAGGCAGCAGUGGGGAAUAUUGGACGAUGGGCGAAAGCCUAAUCCAGCCAUGCCGCGUGUGUGAAGAAGGUCUUCGGAUUGUAAAGCACUUUAAGUUGGGAGUAAGAGCAGUAAGCUAAUACCUUGCUGUUUUGACGUUACUCGCAGAAGAAGCACCGGCUAACUCCGUGCCAGCAGCCGCGGUAA
rnacentral:rRNA from 1 species